rnacentral:rRNA from 1 species
UACAGAGGGGGCUAGCGUUAUUCGGAAUUAUUGGGCGUAAAGGGCGCGUAGGCGGCCAUGCGUGUCUUCCGUGAAAUCCCUCGGCUUAACUGAGGACGUGCGGAAGAAACUGCAAGGCUCGAGUCCGGGAGAGGGGGGUGGAAUUCCCAGUGUAGCGGUGAAAUGCGUAGAUAUUGGGAGGAACACCGGUGGCGAAGGCGGCCCCCUGGACCGGAACUGACGCUGAGGCGCGAAAGCGUGGGUAGCAAACAGG